UUAAACAUGAGAGUUUGAUCCUGGCUCAGGAUGAACGCUGGCGGCGUGCCUAACACAUGCAAGUCGAACGGAGUUUAUUUUACAGAUUUUCUUCGGAAUUGAAGUAGCUUAAACUUAGUGGCGGACGGGUGAGUAACGCGUGGGCAAC
rnacentral:rRNA from 1 species